ensembl:lncRNA
GAAACUUGUACAGACAGCAGAACACCAGGCUGGUGAGCUCUUUGCUGUCUGUGUUGCUAGGGAGACCAGGAGCUGAUUUUGGAGAGCAACGUUGGACAAAAUGAAUGUCAAUGGCAAAAAUAUGCUUAUUGAAAGAGAAGUAGACUAUGAAAUCAUCUGCAGAAACAGACAAGGUCACAAUAGAAGUGUGAAAGUAAAAUAUUAAUCAACUGGAAUGGAAUGGAAAUCCCAAGGUAACACAAGAAACAAGGACACAAAAGGUACUAUGUGAUGCUGAACGUUCAUAUCAUAGAGGACUUCAUGAUUAGUAAAAUUAGUACUUUCUACUGUUACCACCAUUAUAAAAUAGUUCUCUACAGAUGGUUCCUUAAAAAUCCUGCAGUAAUCAGACAGACUACAGGCUAAAGUAGAGAAUUCGAGCAACCUGGCAUCGAAGAUAAUAUUGGAAACACGAUUCACAUUUUAAAACUUGCCGUUUCUUCUGCUUAGACUGUAUUAUUAUUGUGUUUUUCAUGUGUUCGCACAUUUUCAAAUGAGUUGGGUUGACAGAGAAUAUUCUUUGUAAAGGUGAACACGUAGGUGACUUUUGGCCUAAUUUGUCUUGUUCCUCUGUAAAAAUGUAGAAGUCUCCACAGUUUUUCUUUUCUCUUCACUCUCAUUUAAGAUUUAAUAUAAUCCAAAACCUUUGACAGCCAAAUACCCAUAGUUUCAAGUAACAAAGUGUUUGGUGACAAAAUUGCUGCAAGAUGUUCUGUGACAUUAUUCUAUAAUGAGUUAUUGCUCUUCUGACUGCAAGAUCUAUAUGCUUGUACUCUUAGUUACCACUGCCAUAUCAAUGCUCUGGAAAAAAAAUUGGAUUCAAAAUCAUGUCCUGACUGAGCAGUUAGGCUAGAAAAUGUGGAUCCUUCUCCAAAAAAUAGUAUACUCACAUAGCUCAUUUAAAUUUAUCUCAAUUUCUACUAUGAACUAAUUUUGACAAGUUAUUAAUGUAUCUUAUUAAGAACACUGAUUCCAGGAAGUUUGGAGAAGAGAAAUAAUGUAGAUAUCUUUAUUUUUGAUCAUUUUUUCCCCCUUUUUUAAUGUUUACAAGAUAUUGCAGAAAGACUUACUUGUAACAAUAGAUGUUGAAUAUAUGCCACAAACUCCAUUGGCUGAAGAAUUUACAUCUUGCUCUUGGAAUUCUUUUAAGCUUGUUGCAGAGUUUACCCUGCUAAAGUUUUUUUUUUUUCUUCCCUAGACUUUCUGUAGUUCAGAUAGAAUGGAGUUUCUAGAUGAUCUGGACAAAAGACAUAAAAGACAUCACGUGCUAUAACUUAGUGUUGUAUCAGGGUUUACAGUCAGACAAACUGAAUACAUUAAUCUACAUAUCUCUUCUUAAUUUGCAUCUAGAGAAGUUUACCAAGAAUUACUAAUCACAAUCAUCAUAAUUAUACACAGCUCAAAAGUUCAGAGUUCUAAACCUCUCAGAAAAAAGUUGGUAUGAUCUCAUUUUAUCGUUCCAUAUCUGAUAAUCACUGGAAAGAGCAUAUGGUAGUUAAAGAACAUCAGUGGAUUUUGGCAGCCUGCUAGAAUUCUGAUUAAUCAAGGAGAACAUUGGCUGUGAACAUAAUAACAAAUACCUCUGACUGUAUUUCAUCACAACAGGGAACCACAUCUGCUUGAAGAUGAAUUUGUAAUACUCCGCGGCUCUCUUAUAAUGCCACUGUCAUUACAAACACUUUUCACAUGAAAGUUUCAUACAGCUUCUUCUCCAGGAAAUGACAGUACCCUUGGGUUUCCCAAUCCAUAACAAAUUUUAUCUUGAUAGCUUUUCAUAUCUUUAUGCCUGCUUAAUGUCAUGGCAUACUACACAGUUUUCUUGCUAGUGUUUACUAUGUUAGGCAUAGACAUCCCAUGGAAAUGGUGUGGGGAUUUUUUUUGCAGUUCAAGCCACCAUACACAUUAGAACCUCCUCAAAUGAAUGUGAAUAUUUUACACAUAAUUCAGAUGUUUCUUCUCUCUAGAUAUUAUAUUUAGAAAGUAUAAACAAAUCUGCUCUGUUUGCAAUGGUACCUCUUCUUCCUGAGCCACCAACAGGAGCUGUCUCAUUAUUCAUUCUUUAUGCGUGGCAAACUAAGCUUCUGCAACAUUACUAUUUAAAACCUCUAGAAAGUAUUUCUUGUCCCUCUUAUGAAUUCUGAAUUCUUAGAAAAAUCCUCACAUACAUUUUUCUCAGGUUUUUUGUAGAGCAUGAGGAAUUCGUGAGAACAUUUAAUAAAGUUCCAGGAAGCACUAAGAAUUCUUUCUG